CUACGGGAGGCAGCAGUAGGGAAUAUUGGACAAUGGGCGCAAGCCUGAUCCAGCCAUGCCGCGUGAGUGAAGAAGGCCUUCGGGUUGUAAAGCUCUUUUGUCCGGAAAGAAAAGCACUGGGUUAAUACCCUGGUGUCCUGACGGUACCGGAAGAAUAAGCACCGGCUAACUUCGUGCCAGCAGCCGCGGUAAUACGAAGGGUGCAAGCGUUACUCGGAAUUACUGGGCGUAAAGCGUGCGUAGGUGGUUUGUUAAGUCUGAUGUGAAAGCCCUGGGCUCAACCUGGGAAUUGCAUUGGAUACUGGCAGGCUAGAGUGCGGUAGAGGGUAGUGGAAUUCCCGGUGUAGCAGUGAAAUGCGUAGAGAUCGGGAGGAACAUCUGUGGCGAAGGCGACUACCUGGACCAGCACUGACACUGAGGCACGAAAGCGUGGGGAGCAAACAGGAUUAGAAACCCUGGUAGUCC
rnacentral:rRNA from 1 species